UACGGAGGAGGCAAGCGUUAUCCGGAAUUAUUGGGCGUAAAGCGUCCGUAGGUGGCUAGUCAAGUCUGCGGUCAAAGACUGGGGCUUAACCCUGGAAAGGCCGUGGAAACUGACGAGCUAGAGUGCAGUAGGGGUAGAGGGAAUUCCCGGUGUAGCGGUGAAAUGCGCAGAUAUCAGGAGGAACACCGGUGGCGAAGGCGGUUCUCUGGGAAUGUCCUGACGCUGAGGAGCGAAAGUGUGGGGAGCGAACAGG
rnacentral:rRNA from 1 species